rnacentral:lncRNA from 1 species
GUGAGAAGAGAGAAAAAUCGGGAGAGAGGGAGAAGAGGAAGAAGAAGAAAAUGGGUUGGGCUCGGCCCAGCCGACCCAACACUCCUUUUAACCCAAAUUUCCAAAAUUCAACACCCCGAAAAAUAAUACCCGAAUAAAAAUUACCUUUUACUAACUAAAAUUACUAUUUUUACCGUCGUCGUAUUUUCAUCAUACGAAUAAUCCUCCGCACAUAAUCGUCCCCGAAACCCCUCUAAGGACCAAUUAAACUAUUUACUCAAUGAUCGAGACGGUAAAAUUCUUAUUAUAAUCACGCUAGUAAAUAAGGUAAAAAUAUAAGGGUCGGGAUGUGACAGCUAUUGUUUAAAUCAUUGUUGCAGUGCUGCUAUUGCGUUUAUAUCACUGC